CUCAUCCAGAGCAGUGGAGGGAAUGGCCCAAUGAAGCUGCGGCAACCAUCACCGGUGGUGAAACGGUGCCAAUUCCUUUAGAUCAUCAGAUCUAGAAGAUGAGA
rnacentral:ncRNA from 1 species